CAUCUGGUUGUGUACUUCGCUUGGAAGGAGAAACGGCCAGAUGUGUGAUUAUAUACUGAUUAUAUACUGAUUCGUGGGCUGUAACCACUGGUCGGGCUGGAUGAAACUUGGAAGGAACAUAAUUGGAAAAUUGGUGAUAACAAAAUUGGAGGAAGAGAAUAGCUGAGAUCAACCUUGAUUGCCUUUUAAGUCGAGUAAAUUGGAGGACAGGCUGCCCAGUAUCUUAGUUCUUCUAAGACUGCUUGCAACCCAGAAAGUGUGAACAGUGUGAUGACGAAUGCUCUUAAGACCAGGAGUUCAAGCUUAACUCCCAACCCCUUGAGUGUGGGCUAGACUUAGUGACCUGCUUCUAAGGAAUAGAGUAUGGAAAGAGGAAAAUAGCAACAUUACAGGAGAGAAACCUGAAAGCAACUUAACCAAGUGAUCACAGAAUCACUGGUAAUAACUCUUGUUGAUAUCAUGUGCCCCCAAUACAGUAUGAUGAAAAGACCCAUCAUCUCUGUGAUAUUUAUCCUCAAAAUCUAUACUCUUACAACAAUUAUGAGAAAAUAUAGACAAACCCAAUUUGAAAGGAAGCAAGUCUACAAGAUACUUAACCAGUACUUUACAAAAGUGACAAGGUCACAAAAGACAGCACAAGACUGAGAAACUCACAGAUUGGAGGAAGCCAAAGAGACAUCAUGGCUGAGAUCAUGAUGGUGGAACCCUGGUUUGGAUCCUGGAACAGAAAAAAAGAACACUAAGUGGAAAAACUGAU
rnacentral:lncRNA from 1 species